rnacentral:snRNA from 1 species
AUCUUUGUGCAAGGGUUAGAACUCAUGGCAUUGAGGUGAAAACCGAGCCUGAGUACGUUGCUGGUUGAAAUCUACUCCAAACCCUAGUGCUUUGUGUCCUCUGGACCAUAGCCAAUUUUUCAUUAGACAGCUCAUGCUG